GAGGGGGCGGCUCGGGCGAAUCGGGUGCCAACCCGGUCAGGGCCGAAAGGCAGCAGCCGUAACAUUUUUGGUUCGGGUCGAUGUCCGUUCCCUCACC
rnacentral:SRP_RNA from 1 species